UCCAGACUCCUACGGGAGGCAGCAGUGGGGGAUAUUGCACAAUGGGGGAAACCCUGAUGCAGCGACGCCGCGUGGGUGAAGAAGUAUUUCGGUAUGUAAAGCCCUCUCAGCAGGGAAGAAAGAAGACGGUACCUGACUAAGAAGCCCCGGCUAACUACGUGCCAGCAGCCGCGGUAAUACGUAGGGGGCGAGCGUUAUCCGGAUUCACUGGGUGUAAAGGGAGCGUAGACGGCCGUGCAAGCCAGGAGUGAAAGCCCGGGGCCCAACCCCGGGACUGCUCUUGGAACUGUGCGGCUGGAGUGCGGGAGGGGCAGGCGGAAUUCCUGGUGUAGCGGUGAAAUGCGUAGAUAUCAGGAGGAACACCGGCGGCGAAGGCGGCCUGCUGGACCGCGACUGACGUUGAGGCUCGAAAGCGUGGGGAGCGAACAGGAUUAGAUACCCUCGUAUG
rnacentral:rRNA from 1 species